UCCUGGCUCAGAUUGAACGCUGGCGGCAUGCCUUACACAUGCAAGUCGAACGGUAACGCGGGGCAACCUGGCGACGAGUGGCGAACGGGUGAGUAAAGUAUCGGAACGUGCCCAAUAGGUGGGGGAUAGCCCGGCGAAAGCCGGAUUAAUACCGCAUGAGACCUGAGGGUGAAAGCGGGGGACUCGCAAGAGCCUCGCGCUGUUGGAGCGGCCGAUAUCAGAUUAGGUAGUUGGUGGGGUAAAGGCCUACCAAGCCGACGAUCUGUAGCUGGUCUGAGAGGACGACCAGCCACACUGGGACUGAGACACGGCCCAGACUCCUACGGGAGGCAGCAGUGGGGAAUUUUGGACAAUGGGCGCAAGCCUGAUCCAGCCAUGCCGCGUGCGGGAAGAAGGCCUCGGGUUGUAAACCGCUUUGUCAGGGAAGAAAUCCUUUGAGCUAAUACCUCGGAGGGAUGACGGUACCUGAAGAAUAAGCACCGGCUAACUACGUG
rnacentral:rRNA from 1 species